rnacentral:lncRNA from 1 species
ACUGUGAAGUCACAAGAGGCCCUGAGCUCUGUGGGCCCCAGGUGCCCCGGGAAAACUUGGGGGAGAAUGGGCAUCCCACCCCAGCACUUUCUAGGAAGAAGGGCAGCAUUUUGAAGGGCUGGAAGUAGAGGAAGGAGGUUGCGGGUAGAAGACUCCAUACUUUCUGUGACGCCUAUUCCUUAGGAAUCAAGGCUAUCUGUAAUCACAGGGCUAUUUGAAAAAGAGAAGAAAAGGUGUCUUGAAAUUCAACCAACAUGUUUCAAUUAUUUGCUCCUAAGAACAACAGAAGUUUCAACAUUCUGCCAACAGAGUAACUCCUGGAAGAUUGGCACAGAAGAAGGCACAAGGAGAGCCUUUAUAUAACCAAAGAUAUUUUUGGACCAUGAAUUCAGAAAUUCUCGGAGCCACCCAUCAGUGCCUGAGCUUCAGUGAGUCCAUAUCCCAUGUCACCCACGGCAAAGGAGACUCUAAGACUUCUGAAGAGUUUCUUGCUUCUUUCCUGUGGGGCAGUGACUCCACUUCCCAGCAGUAAUGGAAUAUCCUGAAUUAGCUACAUUAAUGUUAGAACCAUUUGGACCUCACCCAGGACUUCAACUACAUUAUGAACCCAAAUUUGGCAACUGUCUGCAUCUGAACAACAGAAGUUUCAACAUUCUGCCAACAGAGUAACUCCUGGACGAUUGGCACAGAAGAAGGCACAAGGCAAAUACCCAUCUCUGUACACCCUGUGCUACUGUGUCAUGUGCUGCUCCAGGCAACUCCAAUGGAUUGGCCACCCUGGCCAAUGUGCCCUCCAAACACCAGCACUGAGUAGAAAGAGGCUCUGAUUCAUGAAAUGUGAAUUUAUGACAGUUGCCACUCUUAAAAAAAAAAACAAACAGACAGAACUUGAGCAAUACAUGACUGAUGCAUUCUCAGCCUGCUUCCUGUGUUCCAUCUGUCUUUCUGCCAGUGCAUUCACCCUCCAGUGAAACUUUCUACAUUCCACAUUUUCUAUCAAGAAAAGAAAGAGGUUGUAUUGUGAGGUUCUAGUAUGUUACGUUUAUGUUCCCCUGCUUUCUACAAUCCUGUUCAAAGAGUUGCUGACUUAACCACAGAGAGGAUUCCAGAACCUGAGACACAGAAUAAACUUGAGCAAUCAUAGUCCAUCCACUUCAUUGUCUCAUCAAAAACCAAAGGUCCAGUGAAGCUCUGGAACUCAACGCUGUAAAGGAGCGAAGGAGCUUCUAUACAGAGCCUGGAUGCCUGUCUCCUUAUCCUACUUCAGUGGACUUGACUGCAAUCCGGAUUAUGCUGUUUUCUAAGCAUUUAAAAUAAAAUAAAAAGUAUAAUAGUGUGAUAAGUUCUUUCACAAAGCAAGCAAUCACAUUUAUGUUUCUACUUACAUUUGGGUUUUCCAAAUAUGUGUGUGUGUGUGUGUGUGUGUGUGUGUGUGUGUAUGUAGACUUUAAACAUGGUGCAUCCAUCAUGUUGCACUAAAUCAAAACCACCAAAUAAUGAUGUAGAACUAAUAAAUCAAAACCAUCAAAUAAUGACAUAGAAAUCCAAUUCUCCCACCUUACACCCAUUAAGAUGGCUACU